rnacentral:rRNA from 1 species
UGGGGAAUCUCGGACAAUGGGGGAAACCCUGAUCCAGCCAUGCCGCGUGAACGAUGAAGGCCUUAGGGUUGUAAAGUUCUUUCAGCGGGGAAGAUAAUGACGGUACCCGCAGAAGAAGCCCCGGCUAACUCCGUGCCAGCAGCCGCGGUAAUACGGAGGGGGCUAGCGUUGUUCGGAAUUACUGGGCGUAAAGCGCACGUAGGCGGAUAUUUAAGUCGGGGGUGAAAUCCCGGGGCUCAACCCCGGAACUGCCUUCGAUACUGGAUGUCUGGAGUCCGAGAGAGGUGAGUGGAAUUCCGAGUGUAGAGGUGAAAUUCGUAGAUAUUCGGAGGAACACCAGUGGCGAAGGCGGCUCACUGGCUCGGUACUGACGCUGAGAUGCGAAAGCGUGGGGAGCAAACAGGAUUAGAUACCCUGGUAGUCCACGCCGUAAACUAUGAGAGCUAGUCGUCGGGCAGCAUGCUGUUCGGUGACGCAGCUAACGCAAUAAGCUCUCCGCCUGGGGACG